GAUGAACGCUGGCGGCGUGCCUAAUACAUGCAAGUCGAGCGAACAGACGAGGAGCUUGCUCCUCUGACGUUAGCGGCGGACGGGUGAGUAACAGGUGGAUAACCUACCUAUAAGACUGGGAUAACUUCGGGAAACCGGAGCUAAUACCGGAUAAUAUAUUGAACCGCAUGGUUCAAUAGUGAAAGACGGUUUUGCUGUCACUUAUAGAUGGAUCCGCGCCGCAUUAGCUAGUUGGUAAGGUAACGGCUUACCAAGGCAACGAUGCGUAGCCGACCUGAGAGGGUGAUCGGCCACACUGGAACUGAGACACGGUCCAGACUCCUACGGGAGGCAGCAGUAGGGAAUCUUCCGCAAUGGGCGAAAGCCUGACGGAGCAACGCCGCGUGAGUGAUGAAGGUCUUCGGAUAGUAAAACUCUGUUAUUAGGGAAGAACAAAUGUGUAAGUAACUAUGCACGUCUUGACGGUACCUAAUCAGAAAGCCACGGCUAACUACGUG
rnacentral:rRNA from 1 species